UACGGGGGGAGCAAGCGUUGUUCGGAUUUACUGGGCGUAAGGGCGCGUAGGCGGUCAGCACAAGUCAGUUGUGAAAUCUCCGAGCUUAACUCGGAAAGGUCAACUGAUACUGUGCGACUAGAGUGCGGAAGGGGCAACUGGAAUUCUUGGUGUAGCGGUGAAAUGCGUAGAUAUCAAGAGGAACACCUGCGGCGAAGGCGGGUUGCUGGGCCGACACUGACGCUGAGGCGCGAAAGCUAGGGGAGCGAACGGG
rnacentral:rRNA from 1 species